rnacentral:rRNA from 1 species
GUAGGGGGCAAACGUUUGCUCGGAAUUACUGGGCGUAAAGGGUGUGUAGGUGGCUGAGCAAGUCUUAGAUGAAAUCCCGAGGCCUACCCUCGGAGCUGUCUUCGAUACUGCUCAGCUUGAGGAUGGUUGAGGAGAACGGAAUUCCCGGUGGAGCGGUGAAAUGCGUAGAUAUCGGGAGGAACACCAGAGGCGAAGGCGGUUCUCUGGGCCAUUCCUGACACUGAGACACGAAAGCUAGGGGAGCAAACGGGGGAUUAGAUACCCCGGUAGUCCUAGCCGUAAACGAUGGGCACUAGAUGUUUCCCGCUUUAUGUGGGAGUGUCGUAGCUAACGCAUUAAGUGCCCCGCCUGGGGGAGUACGGUCGCAAGGCUG